rnacentral:lncRNA from 1 species
CUUGAGAUGGAGUAUCACUCUGUUGCCCAGGCUAGACUGCAGUGGCUCGAUUUUGGCUCACUGAAACCUCCGCCUCCCAGGUUCAAUCGACUCUCCUGCCUCAGCCUCCCAGGUAGCUGGGAUUAUAGGUGCCCACCACCACGCCAGGCUAAUUUUUGUAUUUUUAGUAGAGACGGGGUUUCGCCACGUUGGCUAGGCUGGUCUCGAACUCCUGACCUCAGAUGAGCCGCCCACCUCGGCCUCCCAAAGUGCUGGGAUUACAGGCGUGAG